GACGAACGCUGGCGGCGUGCUUAACACAUGCAAGUCGAACGGAAAGGCCCUGCUUUUGUGGGGUGCUCGAGUGGCGAACGGGUGAGUAACACGUGAGUAACCUGCCCUUGACUUUGGGAUAACUUCAGGAAACUGGGGCUAAUACCGGAUAGGAGCUCCUGAUGCAUGGUGGGGGUUGGAAAGUUUCGGCGGUUGUGGAUGGACUCGCGGCUUCUCAGCUUGAUGGUGGGGUAGUGGCUUACAAAGGCUUUGACGGGUAGCCGGCCUGAGAGGGUGACCGGCCACAGUGGGACUGAGAGACGGCCCAGACGGCUACGGGAGGCAGAAGGGGGGAAUAUUGCAGAAUGGGCGGAAGCCUGAUGCAGAAACGCCGCGUGCGGGAUGACGGCCUUCGGGGUGUAAACCGCUUUCGCCUGUGACGAAGCGUGAGUGACGGUAAUGAGUAAAGAAGCACCGGCUAACUACGUG
rnacentral:rRNA from 1 species